rnacentral:tRNA from 1 species
GGGCUCGUAACUCAGGUUGGCUAGAGUGGCUGGCUUUUAACCAGUAAGUCGGGGGUUCAAAUCCCCCCGAGCCCG